UACGUAGGCAGCGAGCGUUGUUCGGAGUUACUGGGCGUAAAGCGUGCGUAGGCGGUGUCUUAAGUUUGUUGUGAAAUCUCCCGGCUUAACCGGGAGGGUGCGGCGAAUACUGAGAUGCUGGAGUGCCGGAGAGGUAAGCGGAAUUCCUGGUGUAGCGGUGAAAUGCGUAGAUAUCAGGAGGAACACCUGCGGUGUAGACGGCUUACUGGACGGUAACUGACGCUGAGGCACGAAAGCGUGGGUAGCAACAGG
rnacentral:rRNA from 1 species